CGGCCCCUCCCCUGCGUCUGGCGCCCGGACGCGUGCCGGGCUCUUCGCGCGCUUUCUCUGCGCGCCUUCGGCUCACAGAAAGGCUGGUUGCCAGGAGGAACUGAAGUCGGAACUGCAGUUGCUCUGUAGGACCAGGCGUGCCUCUUCUCUCACUUCCCAAUCACCACUAUCUCAAUAUUUGUCAGAAGACAACCCAGGAAUUCAAGUAAACAAGGAGGCUCUCAAGCAUGUCCACCUCCCUGGGCCCCUUUCUCAGAAAGAGAAGGCAGCACAUUAAGGGCCUCAACUGGACCCAAGACUGCAGCAGGGAUGAAUGCGGAAUCUUCAGUGCACUGACCAUUAUGCACUGAAGUCUCCGUUCCAUGGGCUGCUGAUCCUGAACUGCCUGGAAUCUUGCAGUUGGCUAUGAUUGGUAGUGCCCCCACCGUGGGCUCCACACGUCUGAAAAGGGAGCAUGAAAGGUUUGUGU